UGGGGAAUAUUGGACAAUGGGGGCAACCCUGAUCCAGCCAUGCCGCGUGAGUGAUGAAGGCCUUAGGGUUGUAAAGCUCUUUCGCUAGGGAAGAUAAUGACGGUACCUAGUAAAGAAGCCCCGGCUAACUUCGUGCCAGCAGCCGCGGUAAUACGAAGGGGGCUAGUGUUGUUCGGAAUUACUGGGCGUAAAGCGCGCGUAGGCGGCUUUCCAAGUCAGGGGUGAAAUCCCGGGGCUCAACCCCGGAACUGCCCUUGAAACUGGAUCGCUAGAAUCUUGGAGAGGUGAGUGGAAUUCCGAGUGUAGAGGUGAAAUUCGUAGAUAUUCGGAAGAACACCAGUGGCGAAGGCGACUCACUGGACAAGUAUUGACGCUGAGGUGCGAAAGCGUGGGGAGCAAACAGGAUUAGAUACCCCCGUAGUUC
rnacentral:rRNA from 1 species